GCUGUCGGCCGGACGGUCGCGGGCACGCGAGUGCUCGAGGAAAGUCCGGGCUCCGGAGGGCGCGCUGCCAGGUAACGCCUGGGCGGUGCCGCGAGGCACCGACGGACAGUGCAACAGAGAACAGACCGCCGAUGGCUUCGGUUCGCCGGAGCGCAGGCAAGGGUGAAACGGUGGGGUAAGAGCCCACCGCGCGGCUGGUAACAGCCGCGGCUCGGCAAACCCCAGCGGGAGCAAGGCCAAAUAGGCAGCGAGGGGUGGCCCACCCCGACCAAGACGCUGCGGGUAGGCUGCUCGAGGGCGCGGGCGACCGCGCUCCCAGAGGAAUGACCGUCCGAGUGGCGACACUCGACAGAACCCGGCUUAUAGGCCGGCAGCAUCC
rnacentral:RNase_P_RNA from 1 species